AAUUUUGUGCUUCCAUUCCAAAUUCUGGUUCCUAGAAUUCAAGAACAAAGGCAUUCUCUAGGUAGCAAGUUAGUUGCCUGGGAGAGCCAUGUUGUUUGUUGCUCAAUGAAAGAAAAGAAAUUGCCCAAAAUCCAAGUUGACAAGAUAAUGCCAUUUACAAAUGGUGCACAAAACCUGCAGAGAUCGUCAAUUUAGGGCACCAAGAUUUACACUUUAAUCAUCAGCAAUUUAUCUUACUGAUAACUCAGUCAACGUGGAUAUUUCUCACCAUUGACUUAAGAAAGCAGAGCAGACACUGUGCUGGGGACUUUGAGAAAUGCAGAGGAGUGGAGAAUGCCCCCCAAGAACUUAGAAGAGAUGGACAUUUGCAUUAUUCUCUGUAAUGACUGCACAGUGUGGUCCUCUUUGGAUUCCAGCACGAGGCAUCAAACCAUACCAUGGCAUGGCUAGGACCCAAUCCGGUACCAAAAUGAAGAAAAUGACCCUACAGGACCCACAACCCCAGAUGAUGUGGCUUCCUUGGACGACACAGGCCCUCGACAUUACCUGGGGGAUGCUGAAGAAGACAACUCAGGAGGCCGAGCAAAUCCUGCUCCAGGCACAGACA